UACGUAGGGACCGAGCGUUGUCCGGAAUCAUUGGGCGUAAAGAGCGUGUAGGCGGCUAUUUAAGUCCUGCGUGAAAUCCUGCGGCUCAACCGCAGACGGUCGUGGGAAACUGGAUGGCUAGAGUGCGGGAGAGGAGAGUGGAAUUCCCGGUGUAGCGGUGAAAUGCGCAGAUAUCGGGAAGAACACCCGUGGCGAAGGCGGCUCUCUGGACAAUUGCUGACACUCAGGCACGAAAGCGUGGGGAGCAAAAGGG
rnacentral:rRNA from 1 species